AGCAGCCGCGGUAAUUCCAGCUCCAAUAGCGUAUAUUAAAGUUGCUGCAGUUAAAAAGCUCGUAGUUGAAUUUCGGGACUAAUAUGUCGGUCGUGCCUCGGUACGUACUGGUAUUUUUGGUUUCUCCCUUCUGACGAACCUUGAUGUCAUUAAUUUGGUGUCUUGGGAAAUCAGGACUGUUACUUUGAAAAAAAUUAGAGUGUUUAAAGCAGGCUCACGCUUGAAUACAUUAGCAUGGAAUAAUGAAAUAGGACGUUUGAUUCUAUUUUGUUGGUUUCUAGGAUCGACGUAAUGAUUAAUAGGGAUAGUUGGGGGCAUUAGUAUUCAAUUGUCAGAGGUGAAAUUCUUGGAUUUAUUGAAGACUAACUACUGCGAAAGCAUUUGCCAAGGAUGUUUUCAUUAAUCAAGAACGAAAGUUAGGGAAUCGAAGACGAUCAGAUACCGUCGUAG
rnacentral:rRNA from 1 species